GCUCAACCCGUAGCUCGCUCUUGAUACGGUUUUUCCUGAGUAGUGGAGAGGACGAUGGAAUUCCAGGUGUACCGGUGGAAUGCGUAGAUAUCUGGAAGAACACCAGUAGCGAAGGCGAUCUCCUGGCCACAUACUGACGCUGAGGCUCGAAAGCGUGGGGAGCAAACAGGAUUAGAUACCCUGGUAGUCCGCGCCGUAAACGAUGGGCACUAGAUAUCGGGAGAUUCAGUUCUUUCGGUGUCGCAGUUAACGCGAUAAGUGCCCCGCCUGGGGAGUACGUCCGCAAGGGUGAAACUCAAAGGAAUUGACGGGGGCCCGCACAAGCGGUGGAGCAUGCGCUUUAAUUCGAUGCAACGCGAAGAACCUUACCUGGGUUUGACAUGGGAGUGAAAGCCCCUAGAGAUAGGGGCCUUUCCUUCGGGAACACUCCACACAGGUGCUGCAUGGUUGUCGUCAGCUCGUGUCGUGAGAUGUUGGGUUAAGUCCCGCAACGAGCGUAACCCUCGCCCUUAGUUGCCAUCAGGUAACGCUGGGAACUCUAGGGGGACCGCCUGGAACAACCAGGAGGAAGGUGGGGAUGAUGUCAAAUCAUCAUGGCUCUUACGUCCAGGGCUAGACGCGUGCUACAAUGGUCGGUACAGAAGGAUGCCAAACCGUGAGGUUGAGCUAAUCCAGGAAAACCGGCCUCAGUUCGGAUUGGAGUCUGCAAUUCGACUCCAUGAAGGUGGAAUCGCUAGUAAUCGCGGAUCAGCAUGCCGCGGUGAAUGUGUUCCCGGGCCUUGUACACGCCGCCCGUCAAGCCACGAAAGAUGGGAGUACCCGAAGUCGCUUGCCUGACCCGCAAGGGGGGUAGCGCCGAAGGUAAGACCAUUUAUACGGGGCUAAGUCUUAACAAG
rnacentral:rRNA from 1 species